ensembl:lncRNA
UUCCAGAUGCAUUUGAUGGUUUACUAAUGGGAUCUAAAGGUGUCCUACAGGAAACUAGUGAUCUCUUAUGGGAAUCCUUAAGCCAACUCCCUUUUAGAAACAAAACCAUCAGGUUUUAAUCCUAAUGGUUCUAUUGUUCUUUUUUUCAGCAGGGACAGAAUACCAUUAGUGACCAUUUGUCACAACCAGGAAUCAGCAGAACCUUUUAGUGGGUUCUGUGGUUUUCUUUUUUUUCAGAUUAAUGAAUUAAUGUGUUUUAGUCUAAUUUAACAUAUUGUUUCUGGUGUAAUACAGAUGUGUGAAAGCUUGUAUUGAUUAUUUCUAAUGGCUGUGGAAGCUGAUGUGAAUGAGUGGGAUAAAAAAACUCACUCGUGAAGCUCCUGCUGUCCAGGAGGAGGCGCAGUUUCUGUAACUGUGCUUCUCCAACCCUUGUAAAGCAGAGAAGAAGGUCUUACCAUCUGCCAGAGCUUCCACAGUGCUGCUGGAAGAGCAGGAGCUCCUGAAGUGGUCAGGACCCCCAUGGAUCCUCACAGAGCAGGUACUAUUUGGGUGGUGGGUCAUUCUCAGCACUGCAGUGACAUUGACGUGGUGGUGGUGUGUUAGUGUGUGCUGUGCUGGUCUGAGUGGAUCAGUGCUGCAGGAGUUUUAAACACCUCAGUGUCGCUGCUGGACUGAGAAUAGUCCACCAACCAUAAAUAUCCAGCCAACAGCGUCCUGUGGGCAAUGUCCUGUGACCACUGAUGAAGGACUAGAGGAUGACCAACACAAACUGUGCAGCAGCAGAUGAGCUGUCGUCUCUGACUUUACAUCUACAAGGCGGACCGACAAGCUAGGAGUGUCUAAUAGAGUGGACAGUGAGUGGACAGUGUUUAAAAUCUCCAGCAGCACUGCUGAAUCUGAUCCACUCGCACCAGCAAAUAUUUUGGUUGCACACCUUCACUUGGAGAAUUGAAGAAUGUUGUGAAUGAGCACCCAUAUUUUUACUUUGAUUGCAUUUCUUGUUGCCAGAGUGCCCAAUAACUGCCCUGUAGAUGGACCAUAAUCAUGUGGUUCCAG